GUUUAAAAGAAAAAUAUUUAUCUACUUUUUGAUUAUUCUGGUUUAUGCACCACUUCUAUAUGUCUGUAUAGUAUUUGAGAUGACCUGGACAAAAUAGCAGCACAGAAAUGUGGGAUUUGUGGAGUUUCCAUGGCACCACUCUGCCAGUGAGUGAGUAAACAUGGAGCUGAGGAGGCUCCUUCAGACAUGCAAAUCCUCAUGGCUCACAACUCAAUAGACAAGGUCCGUUUUGAUCACAUAAAUUUUACAUUUCACUAUGACUGGUUUUGGCUGCUACCAUCUACAGAUCAUAAAAUAUUCUGAUGUAGUAUCAACAUCAAACUAAACAUAGGGUGAAAACAUAUCUUCGUUCUAUAAUGAGGCAGGAUCAUCUUAAUGCCAUCGCCCUUCUCAAUGCCCAUGGAGAUGAAUUGAUGAAACUCAACCUUGAUGCCAUAUGUGAUGAGUUCAUACGCAGGAAUGAUCUGAGGAGGAGUACACUUGCCAUCAAAAAUUAAGCUACAUCAUUUAGUAGAAGAAGAUUAACUAACACAUAAGUUGCCUGACCAUAUGGAAACAUCAGGAUCUAAUUUUCACCUGGGGCAAGCUGCAGGAAACAGACUCCAAAUCUUCAACAUCAGGAUGUAAAGAUACAUCCUCCUCUAGACUUACUUUUCCUCAACAGUCGUAGUGGACACCAGUAAUAUUUUUCGAAUUUGGUACAAGUCAAUAUUAUCUCAGCUGUUUUUCUGAAACAUUUCAUAUACUUUUAUACACACUAUGUUACAUUUCAAUGUAAAAUUUAUG